UAGGGAAUCUUCGGCAAUGGGGGCAACCCUGACCGAGCAACGCCGCGUGAGUGAAGAAGGUUUUCGGAUCGUAAAGCUCUGUUGUAAGAGAAGAACGAGUGUGAGAGUGGAAAGUUCACACUGUGACGGUAACUUACCAGAAAGGGACGGCUAACUACGUGCCAGCAGCCGCGGUAAUACGUAGGUCCCGAGCGUUAUCCGGAUUUAUUGGGCGUAAAGCGAGCGCAGGCGGUUAGAUAAGUCUGAAGUUAAAGGCUGUGGCUUAACCAUAGUACGCUUUGGAAACUGUUUAACUUGAGUGCAGAAGGGGAGAGUGGAAUUCCAUGUGUAGCGGUGAAAUGCGUAGAUAUAUGGAGGAACACCGGUGGCGAAAGCGGCUCUCUGGUCUGUAACUGACGCUGAGGCUCGAAAGCGUGGGGAGCAAACAGGAUUAGAUACCCUGGUAGUCCACGCCGUAAACGAUGAGUGCUAGGUGUUGGGUCCUUUCCGGGACUCAGUGCCACAGCUAACGCAUUAAGCACUCCGCCUGGGGAGUACGACCGCAAGGUUG
rnacentral:rRNA from 1 species